UACGGGGGGGGCAAGCGUUGUUCGGAAUUACUGGGCGUAAAGGGCUCGUAGGUGGCCAACUAAGUCAGACGUGAAAUCCCUCGGCUUAACCGGGGAACUGCGUCUGAUACUGGCAGGCUGGAAUCCGGGAGAGGGAUGUGGAAUUCCAGGUGUAGCGGUGAAAUGCGUAGAUAUCUGGAGGAACACCGGUGGCGAAGGCGGCAUCCUGGACCGGUAUUGACGCUGAGGCGCGAAAGCUAGGGGAGCAAACGGG
rnacentral:rRNA from 1 species